GACCAGACUCCUACGGGAGGCAGCAGUGAGGAAUAUUGGUCAAUGGGCGAGAGCCUGAACCAGCCAAGUCGCGUGAAGGAUGACUGUCUUAUGGAUUGUAAACUUCUUUUAUACGGGAAUAACAAGAGUCACGUGUGGCUCCCUGCAUGUACCGUAUGAAUAAGCAUCGGCUAACUCCGUGCCAGCAGCCGCGGUAAUACGGAGGAUGCGAGCGUUAUCCGGAUUUAUUGGGUUUAAAGGGUGCGUAGGCGGCCUGUUAAGUCAGCGGUGAAAUCUAGGAGCUUAACUCCUAAAUUGCCAUUGAUACUGGCGGGCUUGAGUGUAGAUGAGGUAGGCGGAAUGCGUGGUGUAGCGGUGGAAUGCAUAGAUAUCACGCAGAACUCCGAUUGCGAAGGCAGCUUACUAAGGUACAACUGACGCUGAAGCACGAAAGCGUGGGUAUCAAACAGGAUUAGAUACCCUGGUAGUCCACGCAGUAAACGAUGAUAACUGGGCGUAUGCGAUAUACAGUAUGCUCCUAAGCGAAAGCGUUAAGUUAUCCACCUGGGGAGUACGCCGGCAACGGUGAAACUCAAAGGAAUUGACGGGGGCCCGCACAAGCGGAGGAACAUGUGGUUUAAUUCGAUGAUACGCGAGGAACCUUACCCGGGAUUGAAAUGUAGAUGACCGCUCCUGAAAGGGAGUUUUCCUUCGGGACAUCUAUGUAGGUGCUGCAUGGUUGUCGUCAGCUCGUGCCGUGAGGUGUCGGCUUAAGUGCCAUAACGAGCGCAACCCCUGUCUACGGUUGCCAUCAGGUAAUGCUGGGAACUCCGUAGAGACUGCCGUCGUAAGGCGUGAGGAAGGUGGGGAUGACGUCAAAUCAGCACGGCCCUUACAUCCGGGGCGACACACGUGUUACAAUGGUAAGGACAAAGGGCAGCUACCUGGCGACAGGAUGCGAAUCUCUAAACCUUAUCACAGUUCGGAUCGGAGUCUGCAACUCGACUCCGUGAAGCUGGAUUCGCUAGUAAUCGCGCAUCAGCCAUGGCGCGGUGAAUACGUUCCCGG
rnacentral:rRNA from 1 species